AUGAGCCGCUGGCGAGCUCUGCUGGGACUCCUAUGGGUCCAGAUUUGCUCGGUGAAAGGGAUGAAGGUGGAGCAGACGCCUUCCUCCCUGAGUCUCCAGGAGGGAACCAGCUCUACUCUGAGAUGCAACUUUUCUACCACGGUGAGAAGUGUGCAGUGGUUCCGACAGAAUCCCGGGGGAGGCCUCUUCAGUCUCCUUUACACGGCUACAGAAACGAAGGAGAGCGGAAGGUUAAGUGCCACAGUGAACUUUAAGGAGAAGUUCAGCACUCUGAAGAUCACAGACUCCCAGCUGCAGGACUCAGCCACCUACUUCUGUGCAGCCGAGCACAGUGCUCCCAGUCAGCAGAAGGUGGAUGCCAUUUUCCAGUCUAUCUAA